rnacentral:misc_RNA from 1 species
GAUGAAGAACGUAGCGAAAUGCGAUAAGUAGUGUGAAUUGCAGAAUUCAGUGAAUCAUCGAAUCUUUGAACGCACAUUGCGCCCUUUGGUAUUCCUUAGGGCAUGCCUGUUCGAGCGUCAUUUAAACCUUCAAGCUAAGCUUGGUGUUGGGUGACUGUCCGCUUCACGGCGGACUCGCCUCAAAAUUAUUGGCGGCCGGUACAUUGGCUUCGAGCGCAGCAGAAACGCGAACUCGGGCCCGUCGUAUUGGCUCCCAGAAGCUAUCUUCACAAUUUUGACCUCGAAUCAGGUAGGGAUACCCGCUGAACUUAAGCAUAUCAAUAAGCGGAGGA